AUUGGAAGGCUUUCUCCUGAAAGGUUUUGUUUGAUGUACUUUCCAGUGUUGGAUCAGUUCUUUUUUUCUCAGGAUUUCUGUCUUCUUGUUGAAUUCUAUUUUCAUAUCCUGAAUUAACUCCCUCAUUUUGUUCUUUUAUUCAGUUGUUUGUAUUCUCUGUAUUCAGGAGAUUAUUUGUGACCUCAUUCACCUAAUUCACAUGGUGUGUGUGUGUGUGUGUGUGUGUGUGUGUGUGUGUGUAUGUAUUUGUGUGUGUACCUUCUUUUUGAAUUCUUUGGCAUCUCAUCUAAAUCACUGGCACUAGUGACCAUUACUAUUGGGGUGGUAGAUUGCAAGGAAACAUAUCUUACUGUCUCAUGUUAUUUAUGUUGAAAGUUGCCUGCCUGGACCUAGCUUUUUAGUUAAGUCUUUCCGUGAUGCCUGUGUUGAGUGAGCAUUUGCUUCAGUGUUUGCUAUUUCCUCUGCUUGGUACUGGUAUUGGUUCAGCUCAGUGUUGCUUGAUUCUAGUAGUAGACACUCAGUGUUAGCUCCUGGAUGGAGAAACUGAAGGUAUAUUGGCUUGGCUACAGUGUGGGCGUGGUCUUUGGUCUCAUAAACCAGAGUCUGUACAACAUGUUGGGAGUUUGUACUAGAGGUGGUAGUUUCAUGUGUUCUCUGAUCUCAUGAUCCUGAGUUGAGCAGUGUUAUAGGGGUGUGUCCCAGGGCCAUGACCCCUAACUUCAUAAGCCAGGGUGCUCAUGUGUACUGUGCAUGUAUGGAAUAUCCUCUGGCUUCUCCAGUUGGGGCAGGAGUGUGCACUGGGGUGUGGGAGGAGAUCAAACACCUCUGGCAUUACCGGCCAGUUGAGGACAGGAUGCAAGAAGUGCAAAGCAGGGGCCUCUAAAAUGCCUUGCUGGGUUGAGCCUGGGAUACAUAUGAGUCUUGUACCCUUUUCAGCCAUGAUGAGUGUUCAGGACAGUGUAAGUGUUAGCAGGAGAAUUGGGAGAGCAGAAGGUCUUGAGACUUCUAGUCUGACCAGCUGGAGCUGGUAUAAAGUAGCGGAAACACAGAGCAGCAGACAUUGUAGUCUCCACAGAGCCAGAGCCCUUUUCUGCUGGGAUAAUCACACAGUGUGUGCGAGGGUGUGAAGGUUCCAGGGUAAGCAGGAUAGUGGGACAUGGCUCUGGUAGGGGUUCACAGAGAGUGGAAGGAUGAGUGAGAGAUCUCAAGGUCUCUAACUUGUCUGGGAGGGGUGAGUGCAGGACAGCAGGAAUACAGGAAAGGGAGAGGAGUCCCCAAGAUCUGCAUGGCUGGAUGGGGUGCAAGGAAGGCUGAAGGAACGUAUUUAUUCUAGGUCUUGAGGAUGCAUUGUAGUUAGGAGUACAAGGGACUUGAAAAUGAAUGUCCCAUGAUAAUUUUAAGGAAAGAGACAAGACGUGGAAUAAGGGAGGCGUCCCAGUCCCCAAGUCAGAGAGCACUUCAGAUAUUAUGAUGGCUUAGGGGCGUUCUUCUUGUCUUCCACCAUGCUACAAGGAGUUGGUUAGCAAUUCAGAGUGGAGCCCACAGGAGAAUUCAAAACAUAAGUUUUAAGCCCCAACUCUGCUGGGCUGAGUCCUUCCUCAGCUGGGCUUUGAGCCUAUCACCCCUUGUUUCUUUCCGGAGACUAAGUUCUGCAACACUGGGAUACUGCAAUACUGCUAGUCCCUGCUAGGGCAUCUCCGAGGUUAUCUCCUUGCCCUGGGUAAAGUAAAGGUCUCUCCCAAAAAACUCUAAAGAAAACAAAAAUAGGUCACUUGGUUCAGAAAAGUCUUGCCUGUAUGAAGGUUCUUGGAGGUUUUGUUGCUAUUAUUCUUCCCCUGCAACCCCCCCUCCCCCAUGCCAUUCAGGUUAAAAGUGUCAACGGACAAGUUUAUUCUAUGUUGUUUAUUUACAUACAUAUUUAUUACCAUUUUUAUGGAUCUUAUAGGAAUUUCCUACCACCUGGAAGACUAGAUCCAGGAUCAAAUCCUCAGGGAUGGCUCUGCUUACAGUGCGUAGACGGAGGAUCUGAGAACAGUUGAUGAUUAGGAAGCGGAAGUACACGAAGCACAGAGACACAGCACGGUGGCACAGAGAAGAGGAGGAGAGCUACGGAAGCUCUGAGAAGGGCAAGAACCAGCUGCCAGGCCUCACCUGCAUCCUCUUUUUCCAGCACUGGCCCAUCCAGGCUCCCAGACAGAGCUCAGCCUGGCUUCUCACAAUGUGUGUCUCACUCCUGGGCCACUGCCAAGGCUUAGGCAUGAAAACUUGACAUGCGGGACUGGAGAGAUGGCUUAGUGGUUAAGAGCACUGACUACUCUGCCAGAGGUCCUGAGUUCAAUUCCCAGCAAUCAUAUGGUGGCUCACAACCAUCUGUAAAGGAAUCUGAUUCCCUCUUCUUGUGCAUCUGAAGGCAGCUACAGUGUACUCAGACAUAAAAUAAAUACUUAAAUCUUUUUUUUUUUUCUCUGAGACAGGGUUUUUCUGUGUAACUCUGGCUGUCCUGGAACUCACUCUGUAGACCAGGCUGACCUCGAACUCAUAAAUCCACCUGCCUCUGCCUCCUAAGUGCUGGGAUUAAAGGCAUGAGCCACCACGCCCGGCUUACUUAAAUCUUAAAACAACAACAACAACAACAAAAAAAAAAAAAAAAAAAGAAAGAAAGAAAGAAAGAAAGAAAGAAAGAAAAAGAAAAAGAAAAAAGGAAAAUUGACCUGAGCCUUGUGGCCCUGGCAGGAUUGAUACAGAAACUAUCAGUUUCAGAGUGUCUUAGUUACUGUCAUAUUGCCUCGAAGAGAUUCCACGACCAAGGCAGCUUAUAAAGGAAAGCAUUUAAAAGGGGGCUUGCUCAUAAUUUCAGAGUCUGUGGCCAUUAUGUGGGGAGCACUAGGUGAGAGCGUACACGUCUGCCUCCCAUGACACAACCCGAAACUUCCACGUCAAUCAUGGGUUCAGAGUUGCAGUUAGAAAGAAGCAGGAGGCUCUGGGGUGUACAGUGGGGUAAAGUUCAACAACGAUGAUGCUGGCGUUGUAAAGUUAUUACACUAAUGAGUGUGAGAGUGUAAACUCUAAGAUACAGGGCACUCUCUGUCACAGUACUGAAGUACUUGGAACAAAGUUACUUUAUCUAUUUGAGACAGGCUCUCACUGUGUAUGUAGCUCUGGUUGUCCUAGAAUUCGCUAUAUAGACCAGGCUAUCCUCAUACUCACAGGGAUCCUCCAGCCUUUAAGGCCUGCCAAGGGCUGGGAUUAAAAGCUUUCACUACCGCCAGUCAUGUUUACUUUAUAAAGAAAAGAAGUUUAUUUAGGUCACAGCUCUAGAGAGUCAGAGAUAUUGUGCCAUCAAUAACUUAGCUCUGGCGAGGACUUUAUGGGAGAAGGAAAGAAGAAAUCACAUCCUGAAAAUCAGGAAGUGGCUCCAGAGGGGCUGGAGCCUCACAAUCCUUUUGAAGGCAGGCAGCAAGUGACCUCUUAAAGGCCC
rnacentral:lncRNA from 1 species